CUCUUGAGUAUUUCUCAUUGUGUUUAUCGCAACACUAUAAGCAUUGAAUUGAAUACAAAGUGGCACUAGUGAUGCCGGAAAUGUCCCCAAGAAACAGAGAAAAGACAUGACAUUACAAGAAAAUUUUGAAUUGCUUGAUCUAUGGAACAAAUCACCCCAAAAGCUAAUGACUUGAAACAGCAGCCAUUGAUGUAGCUCAGGGUUCUGUGGAUCUGUCAUUUGGAGCAUGUUGGUUCUC
rnacentral:lncRNA from 1 species